rnacentral:misc_RNA from 1 species
GAAAUGCGAUAAGUAAUGUGAAUUUCACAUUUCAAUGGUUUGCCACUUUCAUCCCUUGCAAAAGGGAAAGAGCGGAGAACAGUGUUUUGAAGUCUUCUUCAUGCCCUUUUUUUUUCUAAAAUUUUUUACCUUUGCGACCUCAAAUCAGGUAAGACUACCCGCUGAAUUUAA